GUAGGUGAGUAGACGCCAUCUCCAUUUCCCCACUUUGUUAAACCAAUGCUAACCCGACCUUCUAGGUGAACCUGCGGAGGGAUCAUUACCGAGCAAGGGCGUCCCGCCCGACCUCCAACCCUUUGUCACCCGACUCUGUUGCCUCGGGGGUGGCCCGGCCGAUUGGCAUCGGGGCCCCCGGUGGAAUCUCCAACCCUGCGUCCUUGCGUCGGAGUACCAAUCAAAUCAAAUCAAAACUUUCAACAACGGA
rnacentral:misc_RNA from 1 species